rnacentral:lncRNA from 1 species
CUUUCUCAGGCAAAGUUCACCUUAUAUGGUCUUUGCUACUAACUUUUGUAGGUUCUUUUUGGGUACUAGUAUAUAGCUCUUCGACUGUUAUGGUUUAUCUAUAACAGUUCUUAGAUUAGUUGAAAAUAGUUCUUUAAUCAAGGCAAUCAUCGGCAUUGUAAUAUUCGUCUUUGAGCGAUCUUAGUGAAGGUAUAUCUAGAAAGGCGC